GUGGUUCCUAAGACCUGACCAGAGGAAUGUUUUCACUUGUAGUAAGACUGGAAGCCAAUUGUCUCCUUAGGUAAAAAAAAAAAGCAGUUGAGCCAGUACUGAUUAGAUCCUCCCCUUCUGACUGAGCCUUAAAAGGAAAUAAUCCAGAGAGAGAGACAAAGGAAGUAGGACAGAGGGUGGAGGCAGGAACAUGGCGAGAGGCCAAGUCAGGGUCCUACUUGCUGAUGUGACAAUGAGGGGCACAAGUGGAGCCCUCAUGGCUUCACUUGGGCAAUCAGCAGCAUAAAAGAUGGGCAGGAAGCAUAGCCACCAUCAACUCACACUGCAGGGAGUCAUGAAUAUCACCUCCGUCUUUGACAUAUGAGGGGAGAAAUGCUCAGACCACAAAAGUGUCCUCCAACCCAGGGUCCAGGAGGGAAGAAUAAAACACUGGGCAAUUGCUGUUCCAGCAUGCCCGCAGAACACAUGGAGCAAAUGCCUUCUCGUCCCAGACCCAGGGACAAGGGAGUCUGCAUGGAGGUGCCACAGAUGGAGCAUUCUGGGAAUAUAGAGACCUGGAUUCUAGGACUGACCUUGUAAGAGUGGAUGACACAGCAAGAAGGUGACUGUGUGCAAGCCAGGAAGAGAAUCUCCACCAGAACCAACCAUGUCGGCACCCUGAUCUCCGACUUCCAGCCUCCAGAACUGUGAGAAAAUAAAUCUCUUUUGUUUAAGCCACUCAGUUUAUGGUAUUUUGUUAUGGCAGCCUGAGCUGACUAAUUCACUACACGUUGUUUAACCUGGUGCAACAGCAAUCUCCUCUUCUUCUGAUCAAGGUACAUCUAUUCCCCUUUGGGGAACUCCCAUCUCAGUUCACAUGAUUUGUGAAGAACUGACCUACUCUUUGGCUCUAGGGAUGGUCAGGAGCUCAACAAGGACAAGUAACUUUUUGAUGCUGUUGGGCAAAAGGUGUCCUUUCCCUCCAGGGUUGCUAGGCUAGUAGGAAGCAAAAUUAGAAUUGACCCUGGGAUAUAUUUGCCAUCCCUUGGGGGAUCCUGCCUGAGAAUAAAGCUAACCUAAUGAAAGCUGAACUGAAGGAUAGAUUUCUAGAUAUUGUUUAAGCACCUGGAUUCAUUACUUGAAUGGAUUACAAGUCAUACUCAUCUCUUGGUUGCACUCCUGCAAAAGCCUUCCAAGCGGUUUUCCUGCUGCCGCCAUGUGUUCUGCACAGGACGGUCCCGGUGGUCUCUUAAUACACGCAUCAGAGCAGAGGCCACUCUCUGCCUAGAAGCCUCCAAUAACUUCCCAUUGCCAUAAAGAUAAUAUCCCCAUUCUUUAUCACACCCACACCAUCUCACAUGAUAUGAUACCUGGUUAUGUCUCCAAAUCUAUCUUAAGCCACUUCCUCCCCUGCCCUUUAGACUCAUCAAUGUGCUACCUGGUUCUUGAGGGGUUAUUCAAAAGUUGUUGUGAUACAUCAAAAUCAACAUCCAAAUGAAUGCAUAAUUGCUCAGCAUAGUCUAUUUUCCACCAGAUGCCAACUCUGCUGGAGAUUUCCAGAGAGCAGCAAUGAUGAUUUGUACAACCCUUUCAUAGAUCCCUGAGAUCCUCUAUUUUAUCUUAAUAAAUACUUAAAAUGUCAAUAGUUAGGAAAGAGCGUGUUACUGUUGUCAUUGUCAGGGAAGCACAAUGAAGCUGAUGAAGGUUUUAGCUCACUCAAGAUGUUAAUGAUUAGUAAACUACAAGAGCCGAGACUAGGACUAAAGUUCCUUGCGUCUGGCUCAUGAAUUUUCCUUCUGUUACCUUCUGGCAAUGAUUAGAUUGGGGUCUGAAUGACUAUCCCUAUAAACUUUUAUCAGAAUAGACAAUGUCAAAACAUUAAAUUAGGAAUUCCUUUCAAGAGCUGCAUGAACCAAGUAUAAGUUGACAGUAUUCCUGAAUGCACAGACACUGCCUGACCUAUGGAGGCAGAAAGUGGCCUGCUCUGCACUUGGAGACAGAUGUAUAAGGAGUUCUGUACCAAUGAACACUUACACAGAAGGCUUCAAUAAAGGGAUGUAUAAAAAUCAGAAAAAGCCAACCAUUUUUCAUACUACAGUGAAAAAUGACUUUUGCAGUGGCUUCUUAGGAAUUGCUUGCAUGGGGAUUGACGGAAGCAAACCAGUUAUGUGUCCUCAUACAUUUCUAUGCACCUGGAGACUUACUGCUUCAAGGUUCAAGUCUCAUUUCAGACCAGCAAUAACAAAAGGUAGGUGGGGAGGGGAGGUAUUCCAAGAGGCACUCACGGUCCUGGUGGUCAUCGCCUUUCCUGCAAAUGACUUGUACCUGCAUGCUCCCAAAGGAGAUCCUGUUUCUGUUUAUUUAAAAAUCCUUUUUUAAAAAAAUAUAUAAAACCUCACCAGAUCAAGUGCACAUUACUGAGCAAAAUGUCUGCAGCUGGCCACUUAGAAAAGCAAACUAUUUACCGCAGAGAUUGAUGAAACCGCGCCAUAAAUUCUUAGUGUAAAAUUUUCUUUUUUCUUCAUCAUUGAAAAGCCCGGAACAAAGGAAAAUAUUUUGGCUUUGUAUAUAUCAGCUUUAUGGUGGCCACAAGUGUUAAUCUCCUGAGUCAGUGAUAUGGGGAAAAAUGGGGCUUGUAAAGCAUAUACUGGCAGGCCAGAAACUCUAACUCGGUUUCUGGGGAUUUCUGUGAUUAGGAGGAAAAGAGAGCCCUUCCACUACCUCUUCACUGCAGAGAAAGGCAGGAAGGCCGAGGCAGGGCAGCCCCAGUGUGCUCACAGAGGGACCAGGCCCAGAGCAAUGGGAGGCUGCAUGCCAGGGAGGGUGGAGAGGUAUAGGCUGGUGGCGCCCUCAGCAGGGUCAUGGUGGGGAAAUGAUGAGGGAGGCAGGCAGGCAUCAGGCUGUCACCAGAUUAUAAAUCGCUGGCCUGUGGGAACUCUGAUUUAUCCAUCUCAGUACCUGUCUGUUCCCUCUUUUUUGACAAGGGAGGCAGGUUGGAUGGGAUGCUCUGAUUGGUGGAGAUAUACACACUACCCAAGAGACUUGUGCUCAGCUGGCGCUGGGUAGAGGGCAGUAAGAUCAUCAGUCUCCUUUGACCUCAGAUUUACUAAUCUCCAUUUUUCUUCCAGCCAGUUAUCAAAAUACGCCAUUCCACUAUAUUUUGAAGAUUGCUUAGAACAAUGAAAAACACAUGUGCUGUAUAUUUUUGGAUUUAAAUUCUGACCCCAUCACUUAUUAACUCUUUACUAACUCUCAAGUGAACAUGGGGCAGGCCACUUAAACUCUCUGAAUUUUAGCUUCUAAUCUGUAAAAUUUCUGUUCCAGAGGGUUUAGCACAACUUCAGGGAGAGUCAUAGAACCAUUCACGUUGUAGUCCACAUGAAUGGUGUUCUGUGAAGUUGUGCAAUAUAUAACCUGUGUGACAGAAAAUGACAACCAAUAUGAGAAAAACGCUCUGAAAGAAAGAGACUUGGUUGUAUUGGAGAAUAUGAAAAAGAUAAUUAAUUUAAGGUGGUGAGUUGGAAAAUGCUUCUUCAAGGAAGUACUACUUAACCUGAGAUGCAAAAUAAGUCAUAGUUUAGUGCAUAGAACUGGGCUGGACAUAUUAUAGAAUCUACAAUAUACUUUCAUUAUGUGCGCAUUUCUUCUCUUGAAAGCAUCUCUCUUGGGUCUUAUUCCCCAGGUCCAGGGUGUCAUUAGGAAGAUUCCUGAGCAAGGUAGUCUUUAGAGCUAGGAAGGGCCUGGAAUGGGAGGCAGGUUAUUAGAGAAAAAACUCAAGCACAGAAUAAGUCCAACUUUUUGAUGUCAGGAUGGAUUCUGAGCCAGGGAUGAGUUAAAAUUCAGAUCUAUAGGUUCCAGCUUGGGAUAGAGGCUACCAUAAGGGAUGAGACCCAGCAAGGCCUGGUGGCAUUACCACUGUUACCAGUGACGUUUCCAGGCCUAGGUCAUCCCUGCUGAUGCUCUCAAUCCAGGCUGUGGAGAGCCGGUUCAUGAAAUGGAUACUAAGAUUCACAGCCCAGCUGAUUCUCUCCAAUGACCUUUAGUGUAGGUCUUAGAACAUGAGAAGGGGCUCGAGGCAGGAGAUUACAAGGGUGUGAGAGUAUGAGGAAAGGGAGGGCCUCACUUGAGGUAGGGUUCACAGUAGGAACUGAGCAUCAAGGAGAAGGAUCUUAUAGCUUGGGCCUGCUGAUGAAUAUUACCUGCCCAAUGCUGAAGUAAAGACCUUUCACAGAUAGCCCCAGGCUCAGCAGGGAGGGAUGUCUCAUCUCCCACUGAUAUCUCUGUGGUUAUAGGCAUGCUAGGCUUCUCAUGCUUCCCUGAGUAGAUCAUCACAUUCCUAUGUCAGGUCUUUGUUCAUAUUGUGACUUCAGUUUCAAUUCUGGGCACACGUCUUUUAUUGGCUCCUCCAGACCCACUCCCUACCCUUCUCUAUCCUGCAUGGACUAAAUCAAUGGGUUUCCUUGCCCUUUGGCUUCCAGUUGGGCUUGGCCAGUGGAGACACUCUCUGCAGAAGAUUAGAGAAAGGAGCACGAGGUCAGACUAUGCAUUUCUAGCUACCAUCCUGCAAGGUCACUUCAGGUUGGCUGUGUCCUUUGACCAAUGGUCACUGUUCCUUUCGAGGCAUCC
rnacentral:lncRNA from 1 species